CAAAAUGAAAUCGAGCGGGAAGUGAUGUUAAGAUUUGGCGAAAAGAAAGAAAAAUAAAAAAAAUCCAAGAAAAUUAGCCGCCAAUGCUAAAGCUCCAAACAAGAAGUUAAAAGGUUCAGAAUAAUAUGUAAAAAUAUGAGAGCGCAAAACCCUGAAAAAUAGACAAACAUACACACCAAAAAAAAAAUAAUAAUAAUAAUAAUAAAGAAAAAGAAAAAAGAGAAGUUUGAAAUGAUAAGCGUUCUUAAAGCUGUUUGAAGAAAAGAAAUGGCGAGGACCAAACAUCUUGCUGAAAGGAAGCUCAGACGGCCAUCCGGAGGAGUUUCCACACCAUCGCCUAGAAAGAAAUCGGCACCUGGUGCAAGCACGAGUAGAUCUGAAAAUGCUGCUGGUCAAGGGACUCCAACAACACGGAAGAAGCGUCGCAGCAGACCAGGAACUGUUGCUCUUCGGGAGAUUCGAUAUUUUCAGAAGUCUUUCAAGAUGCUACUGCCUCAUGCUCCAUUCUUCAGAACGGUAAGAGAGAUUAGCUACCAACUUUCUCCACAAGUUACGCGUUGGACACCAGAAGCUUUGAUGGCACUUCAAGAGGCAGCAGAGGAUUUUUUGGUUCAUUUAUUUGAAGAUUCAAUGCUAUGUGCAAUUCAUGCAAAGCGUGUCACACUUAUGAGGAAAGAUUUUGAGUUGGCGCGUAGGCUUGGAGGGAAAGGGAGGCCGUGGUGAUAUCUCAUUGCAGCAGCACCAUUAUCACUAAUCACAGCAACCAUUCGACCAAUUGUCAUAUAUUCUUCAAAGAUACUGAUGGCCUUGGCGUGGGAUUCGCGUAAGUCUUUUUCCAGGUUGACUAAUCCUUGAACAUGCUUGUCCUUCGUCAUGUAUGUGCUAAACCUGCCAAGUGAAUGUGAAACUUUGACUCAACUUCCAAAUGAAACCGUGUAGGAGAGCUAUUUCUUC